rnacentral:lncRNA from 1 species
AGCCUCAAGAGCUGAUCUGGUUCAUCCUUGGUGGGUUUAGCUCAGCUUUGGUUGAUCCCUGUUUGAGUCCAUCCCAGUUUUGUUGGGUUUAUCCCUGGUUUUGGUUAAUCCCAGGUUUUGGUUAAUCCCAGGUUGUGGUUUAUCCCUGGUUUUGGUUAAUCCCAGGUUUGUUGGGUUUAUCCCGGGUUUUGGUUAAUCCCAGGUUUUGGUUAAUCCAAAUUUUGUUUGGUUUAUCCUUGGUUUUGGUUUAUCCCUGGUUUUGGUUUAUCCCAGUUUUGUUGGAUUUCUCCCUGGUUUUGGUUAAUCCCAGGUUUUGGUUUAUCCCAGUUUUGUUGGAUUUCUCCCUGGUUUUGGUCCAUCCCUGGCUCUCCUGGGUUUUUCCCGUUUUUGGUUUAUCCCGGGUUUUGGUUAAUCCCAGUUUUGUUGGAUUUCUCCCUGGUUUUGGCCCAUCCCAGUUUUGUUGGAUUUUUGCCUCCUUGGCUCCGUCCCGCCGGAUUUUUCCCGGUUUCCGCGCGCCGGCCCC